UACGAAGGGGGCUAGCGUUGCUCGGAAUCACUGGGCGUAAAGGGUGCGUAGGCGGGUUAUUAAGUCGGGGGUGAAAUCCUGGAGCUCAACUCCAGAACUGCCUUCGAUACUGAAGAGCUCGAGUCCGGGAGAGGUGAGUGGAACUGCGAGUGUAGAGGUGAAAUUCGUAGAUAUUCGCAAGAACACCAGUGGCGAAGGCGGCUCACUGGCCCGGUACUGACGCUGAGGUGCGAAAGCGUGGGGAGCAAACAGG
rnacentral:rRNA from 1 species